rnacentral:rRNA from 1 species
GACGUAGGGCGCGAGCGUUGUCCGGAUUUAUUGGGCGUAAAGAGCUCGUAGGCGGCCUGUCGCGUCGGAUGUGAAAGCCCGGGGCUUAACCCCGGGUCUGCAUUCGAUACGGGCAGGCUAGAGUUCGGUAGGGGAGAUCGGAAUUCCUGGUGUAGCGGUGAAAUGCGCAGAUAUCAGGAGGAACACCGGUGGCGAAGGCGGAUCUCUGGGCCGAUACUGACGCUGAGGAGCGAAAGCGUGGGGAGCGAACAGG